GACGGAGGGUGCUAGCGUUGUUCGGAAUGACUGGGCGUAAAGGGCGCGUAGGCGGCUCGUGAAGUCGGGUGUGAAAGCCCGGGGCUCAACCCCGGAACGGCAUCCGAUACUGGCGGGCUUGAGACCGGGAGAGGAGGGUGGAGUACCCAGUGUAGAGGUGAAAUUCGUAGAUAUUGGGUGGAACACCGGUGGCGAAAGCGGCUCUCUGGCCCGGAUCUGACGCUGAGGCGCGAAAGCGUGGGGAGCAAACAGG
rnacentral:rRNA from 1 species